AUGCUCAUCAAUGAAUUUUCCCUCUGCGUCUUGAAAGUUGGAGGAGAAAGAAAAUCGCUUUCUAUUUCCGAAGAUGCUGGUGUUCCCCAUCCUGCUGUUCUCACUUCUCCAGGACCGAGGCCCCGUGGAGGGAACCAAGAUCCUAGACCAUCCCUUAGACAUGAACUGGUUCAUACCUUGCCAGCUGCAUCUCCCUUGCUUCUUCCAGGACAGAGUGGGUUGAAAGAGCCAGCAGGAACUGAAAAGCAUUGUAAACUAAGGAGGAAAAGUAACAAAGAGCUUGAAGACUUUCAUGGAGCCCAGGCCCUGGACGGAGGCAGGCGACAUCAGAGAACCAAGAAAGCUGAGGGGCAGCCAGGAGGCACCUGUGGCUGCAGAGCCCAGGUAGGUACUGGGAAGAGGAAGAUGGACAGGCCGGGGGGCAGAGAGGCACAGAGCCCCUGA
rnacentral:lncRNA from 1 species